UUGAAAGGGAAACGAUUGAAGUCAGUCGUACCGACGAGAAAUCAGCUUAUCGUGUGUUAACUUGUGGGCGUGCGUGAGUUUCGGCCUCGCUGUUUGCAUGUUUGUGCGCUUUGGGUGUACUUUUUCGUAUGGUUGGCCAACAUCAGUUUCGAUCACUAUAAAAUGACUGGCGGAAUGUAGCUUCGAUUUCGGUUGAAGUGUUAUAGCCUCUGGUAGAUGUGGUGAUUGAGACUGAGGAUUGCAACGAAUAUCCUUUGGGCUAUCCGUCUGGCCUCUGAAAGUUGCUUGGGUGCUGAAAGCUUGCUUAUGGUUAUCUAAGUUAACGGUCAAUAGGUUAGAACGUGAUUACAUUCGUUAAGGAUGUUGACGUA
rnacentral:rRNA from 1 species